rnacentral:rRNA from 1 species
UACGAGGGGGGCAAGCGUUGUUCGGAAUUAUUGGGCGUAAAGGGCGCGUAGGCGGUGCGGUAAGUCACCUGUGAAAACUCUGGGCUCAACUCAGAGCCUGCAGGCGAAACUGCCGUGCUUGAGUGUGGGAGAGGCGAGUGGAAUUCCUGGUGUAGCGGUGAAAUGCGCAGAUAUCAGGAGGAACACCAAUGGCGAAGGCAGCUCGCUGGGACGGUACUGACGCUGAGGCGCGAAAGCGUGGGGAGCAAACAGG